ACUCCUACGGGAGGCAGCAGUGGGGAAUAUUGGACAAUGGGGGCAACCCUGAUCCAGCAAUGCCGCGUGUGUGAAGAAGGUCUUCGGGUUGUAAAGCACUUUCAGUGGGGAAGAAAAGUGUAAGGUUAAUACCCUUGCAUCUUGACGGUACCUACAGAAGAAGCACCGGCUAACUCCGUGCCAGCAGCCGCGGUAAU
rnacentral:rRNA from 1 species